UGAGAGUUUAAGUUGAUUUGCAAUCAGCUAGAAUGUUUAACAUACUUUGAA
rnacentral:tRNA from 1 species